rnacentral:rRNA from 1 species
UACGUAGGUGGCAAGCGUUGUCCGGAUUUACUGGGCGUAAAGGAUGCGUAGGCGGACAUUUAAGUCAGAUGUGAAAUACCCGAGCUUAACUUGGGUGCUGCAUUUGAAACUGGGUGUCUAGAGUGCAGGAGAGGUAAGUGGAAUUCCUAGUGUAGCGGUGAAAUGCGUAGAGAUUAGGAAGAACACCAGUGGCGAAGGCGGCUUUCUGGGACGGUACUGACGCUGAGACGCGAAAGCGUGGGGAGCGAACAGG